rnacentral:rRNA from 1 species
UACGGAGGGUGCAAGCGUUGUUCGGAAUUACUGGGCGUAAAGCGCGUGUAGGCGGCCAUUUAUGUCGGGUGUGAAAUCCCUGGGCCUAACCCAGGAAGUGCGCCCGAAACUGGAUGGCUUGAGUACGAUAGGGGGGGACGGAAUUCCCAGUGUAGAGGUGAAAUUCGUAGAUAUUGGGAAGAACACCGGUGGCGAAAGCGGUUCCCUGGAUCUGUACUGACGAUAAGACGCGAAAGCGUGGGGAGCAAACAGG